GAUGAAGAACGUAGCGAAAUGCGAUAUGUAAUGUGAAUUGCAGAAUUCAGUGAAUCAUCGAGUCUUUGAACGCACAUUGCGCCCCCUGGUAUUCCGGGGGGCAUGCCUGUCCGAGCGUCAUUGCUGCCCUCAAGCACGGCUUGUGUGUUGGGCCUCCGUCCUCCUCCCGGGGGACGGGCCCGAAAGGCAGCGGCGGCACCGCGUCCGGUCCUCGAGCGUAUGGGGCUUCGUCACCCGCUCUUGUAGGCCCGGCCGGCGCUUGCCGACACAUCAAUCUUUUUUCCAGGUUGACCUCGGAUCAGGUAGGGAUACCCGCUGAACUUAAGCAUAUCAAUAAGCGGAGA
rnacentral:misc_RNA from 1 species